rnacentral:lncRNA from 1 species
GGUUUUUUGAACUUCACAUGAUGUUGCGUAAUUGUCAAUCCAGAUCUGAAUCUAAUCACUGAAUGUCCUACUACAAGGAUGUGGUCAGGUUGACUCACUUCUGAGUCACAAUAACACAGAUCACACACACACCACAGAUUGCGAGGGAAGUACAAUGAGAAGUCGGGAAAAUGAAGUCUGCUGCGUGGUUGCCCCACACACACACACACAAACACACACUUAAUUUAGGUUAGUCAAGGCUUUGUCAUUAAAAUAUUAUAGUGUCUAUCUUUCAGAUCUGCCAACCAGGCACGGUGGGUAACAGGUAACUGUGUUUCCACCAAGCUGUUCCAGGCCUGGAGUGGCACGCUGGAGCUUCCAGAGGCUUGUAGACCUGAAGCAGUGUGCUGUGAUCUGUUAGCGCAACCACAGUCCUCACAGCUGCAGUCGUCUGACCCUGCACCUGCUACACCGGCCACGACAGAUGAUAUAGAUCUGCCACCCCCAGCAGUUCAGCUGCAGUCACAGUAGUCCUCUGCUGUGGUAUUUCAUUUACCGGCUGCACCAGUUCUUACUACACUGGCUGCGAAGGGAG